AGUGAACGCUGGCGGUAGGCCUAACACAUGCAAGUCGAACGGCAGCACAGUAAGAGCUUGCUCUUACGGGUGGCGUGUGGCGGACGGGUGAGGAAUACAUCGGAAUCUACUUUUUCGUGGGGGUUAACGUAGGGAAACUUACGCUAAUACCGCAUACGACCUUCGGGUGAAAGCAGGGGAUCUUCGGACUUUGCGCGAUUGAAUGAGUCGAUGUCGAACUAGCUAGUUGGCGGGUUAACGGCCCACCAAUGCGACGUUCCGAAACUGGUCUGAGAGGAUGAUCAGAAGCACUGGAACUGAGUCGGGGCCCAGGUUCCUGAGGGAGGCAGAAGUGGGGAAUAUUGGGCAAAGGGCGGAGGUCUGAUUCAACAAAACCGCGUAGAUGAAGGAGGACUUCGGGUUGUAGAGCCCUUUUGAUGAGUAAGAAGAAAAGAAGGAUGAGACACCGCAGUUAUGACGGUACACGAAGAAUAAGCACCGGCUAACUUCGUG
rnacentral:rRNA from 1 species